rnacentral:rRNA from 1 species
GGCCCUACGGGGCGCAGCAGUGAGGGAUAUUGGUCAAUGGGGGAAACCCUGAACCAGCAACGCCGCGUGAGGGAAGACGGUUUUCGGAUUGUAAACCUCUGUCCUCUGUGAAGAUAAUGACGGUAGCAGAGGAGGAAGCUCCGGCUAACUACGUGCCAGCAGCCGCGGUAAUACGUAGGGAGCAAGCGUUAUCCGGAUUUAUUGGGUUUAAAGGGUGCGUAGGCUGAAUGUCAAGUCAGCGGUAAAAAUUCCGGGCUCAACCCGGUCGUGCCGUUGAAACUGGCGUUCUUGAGUGAGCGAGAAGG